rnacentral:rRNA from 1 species
UACGUAGGUGGCAAGCGUUUGUCCGGAAUUACUGGUGUAAAGGGCGUGUAGGCGGCAAGUAAGUCAGAUGUGAAAUUCCAGGGCUCAACUCUGGAGCUGCAUCUGAAACUAUGAGUCUUGAGUAUCGGAGAGGAAAGUGGAAUUCCCAGUGUAGCGGUGAAAUGCGUAGAGAUUGGGAGGAACACCAGUGGCGAAGGCGGCUUUCUGGACGAUAACUGACGCUGAGGCGGCGAAAAGCGUGGGGAGCAACAGGG